ensembl:lncRNA
GAAGCACCCACUUGUAACUUCCUGGCUGCGGGCGUUUCUGCUGUUCUUGGGCCUGCUGCAGCUUGUCUUCUUCACCCUGUUUGUGCUGCAGAAGGACAUCCUUCACCUGGUCCUGCCUGGAGAGCUGGCGACUGCCCUUGGCAUCCGUCCACCUAAGCCCGCUCUUUUCUGACCCCACAACACACUGCGGCCCUUCAUCGGGACACCAUUGGGUCUGCACAAGCAUUAGGGGUCUGUCACCAUUGUCACCCUGUCACCAAUCAUGUCAAUA